rnacentral:rRNA from 1 species
UGGGGGGCCAGAAUGCCCCUUCCAUGCACGUCGAACGGUAACAGGGAGCUUGCUCCGCUGACGAGUGGCGAACGGGUGAGUAAUAUAUCGGAACGUACCCAAGAGUGGGGGAUAACGUAGCGAAAGUUACGCUAAUACCGCAUACGAUCUAUGGAUGAAAGCAGGGGACCUUCGGGCCUUGUGCUCCUGGAGCGGCCGAUAUCUGAUUAGCUAGUUGGUGAGGUAAAGGCUCACCAAGGCGACGAUCAGUAGCUGGUCUGAGAGGACGACCAGCCACACUGGAACUGAGACACGGUCCAGACUCCUACGGGAGGCAGCAGUGGGGAAUUUUGGACAAUGGGCGCAAGCCUGAUCCAGCAAUGCCGCGUGAGUGAAGAAGGCCUUCGGGUUGUAAAGCUCUUUUGUCAGGGAAGAAACGGGAUUGGCUAAUAUCCAGUCCUAAUGACGGUACCUGAAGAAUAAGCACCGGCUAACUACGUGCCAGCAGCCGCGGUAAUACGUAGGGUGCAAGCGUUAAUCGGAAUUACUGGGCGUAAAGCGUGCGCAGGCGGUUUUGUAAGUCUGUCGUGAAAUCCCCGGGCUCAACCUGGGAAUUGCGAUGGAGACUGCAAGGCUAGAAUCUGGCAGAGGGGGGUAGAAUUCCACGUGUAGCAGUGAAAUGCGUAGAGAUGUGGAGGAACACCGAUGGCGAAGGCAGCCCCCUGGGUCAAGAUUGACGCUCAUGCACGAAAGCGUGGGGAGCAAACAGGAUUAGAUACCCUGGUAGUCCACGCCCUAAACGAUGUCUACUAGUUGUCGGGGUUUUAAUUAACUUGGUAACGCAGCUAACGCGUGAAGUAGACCGCCUGGGGAGUACGGUCGCAAGAUUAAAACUCAAAGGAAUUGACGGGGACCCGCACCAAGCGGUGGAUGAUGUGGAUUAAUUCGAUGCAACGCGAAAAACCCUACCUACUCCUUGACAUGUCAGGAAGGCCGAGAAGAUCUGGCUGUGCUCGAAAGGGAACCUGACAACAGUGCUGCAUGGCUGUCGAUCAGCUCCUGUCGUGAAAUGUUAGGAUAAGUCCCGCAAACGAGCCGCACCCCCUGGCUCACUAACUGCUACCUCUGAAUGCACUUCUAGUGAACCUGUCCUGGUGACCACCUCGAGCGCAGGGUGGCGAUGACCGCAGGAUCGUCGAUGCCCCUAAUGGUUAGGGCUGCCCAGUCUAACAGUGUGCACUGCAGAGCUGCUCGAUCCGUCGCGAGGGGGACCUCUAAUGCCUCUGACAGAGAUAGCAUCG